rnacentral:misc_RNA from 1 species
CUUCCCCUCAAUUGUUUUCUUGAGCUACAAAUUUACAACAUUAGUGGCUGUCUUCCCUAAACCAAAAUGAAACGGAGUAAAAUGACCCAUGUGGCAAGCCUAGACCAGGUAGUUGAAUUGAGUUGCUAAAUAUCAAAUAUUAGAGAUUGGUAUGCGGUGAGGAUUAGGAAUGAUGAUGGCUAAUCUCUUUCAUACAGGCCAAACAAGCCCCACAAUGGACGAAAAAAGAAAAUUUGGGUAUAUUACAAACCCAUAUCUAAUCAAGUAAAUGGUUUCUAAUUCAGAAAAAAGGCAACAUAGAAUGCAUUAUAAUGCAUCCAUCAUGAAGAGAGAUUUUUCUUGAUAAGUAAUUGCAUUCACCAAAUGUGUGUGAUAUAAAAAGUACUGAAAUCGCAUCCCUGCUCAUGUAGAAACAUUUAGGUCAGGGUCCUCAGGUUCAAAACUCAAAAUCAUGUUACAGAAAAGGUUUGCAGAUUACGUCAAAAGGAUUUAGAGAAAAUGCAGAUGGUUGAGCAUGCAUAAACAGAGAAUAAAACAAAAUCCAUAAAGAGAUCCAGCCAAAAGUGAUGAUAAAUGAUAGUGAUGCCAUAUGGGGGUAACAAUCAGACAAUGAUAGCAAAGCUUUAUCAACUCUUCAAAUCAAACAAACUUAUGCAAGCAAUUUGCAGUUAGGAUGUGUUCAGGUUUAUCUAAGUGGUUAAGACAUGACCUGAUGACCCUCAAAAUUGUGUCACUAUUUAGUCAUCAUAUUAGAUGCUAAAAAAUCUCUUGAACUUUAUAAAUUGCAUCAAAAGACAAAUAGAAAGAG